GCUACNAUGCAGUCGAACGAUGAAGCCCAGCUUGCUGGGUGGAUUAGUGGCGAACGGGUGAGUAACACGUGAGUAACCUGCCCUUAACUCUGGGAUAAGCCUGGGAAACUGGGUCUAAUACCGGAUAGGAGCGUCCACCGCAUGGUGGGUGUUGGAAAGAUUUAUCGGUUUUGGAUGGACUCGCGGCCUAUCAGCUUGUUGGUGAGGUAAUGGCUCACCAAGGCGACGACGGGUAGCCGGCCUGAGAGGGUGACCGGCCACACUGGGACUGAGACACGGCCCAGACUCCUACGGGAGGCAGCAGUGGGGAAUAUUGCACAAUGGGCGCAAGCCUGAUGCAGCGACGCCGCGUGAGGGAUGACGGCCUUCGGGUUGUAAACCUCUUUCAGUAGGGAAGAAGCGAAAGUGACGGUACCUGCAGAAGAAGCACCGGCUAACUACGUGCCAGCAGCGGCCGGUAAUAAA
rnacentral:rRNA from 1 species